ACAUCCUCAACCUUCUUGGUUUCUCAACCGGGGAAGGCUUGGACUUUGGAGGUUUUCUCUUGCUGGCCUUCCUUUGAAGCCGGCUCCUCCUAAAGGGAUUAGUGGGGUCCGCUUUGCCCAUCCUUGACGUGAUAAGCGUGCUUCUACGUCUUGGGUUUCGCACUGCCUCGGCCUGGAACCUGCUUCCAACGGUCUCUCUUUUGAAAGACGAUCUUAGAACU
rnacentral:misc_RNA from 1 species